AUCUACCAACAGGAAUCCUACAAGUGUGAAUAAAAUAAUGUACAAUAUGACUACUGAUUCGAGACCGGAGACACACAAGCGUGAUGUGAUUCUGCUCUUGUGUCUCGCAAUGCUUGUGCUGUUACUGCUGGUUACUCUUGUUGCCAUAGUAACUUGGAGGCU